UCGAUAAUCCACGUAUACCCAACCUUCUUUUGAUCCUCAGCAUGUGUACUGCCGUUGUAAGCAUACCUUUAAAAGAGUAGUAAGCUACUAUGAUUAAUGACUCACAUACAUCAGGUCAAAGUGCAGCUAAUAAGAAGGUGAUGAUGGGUUACAACCCCAAAAUAGACUAUCAACUAAGAGAUAAAAAAUCUUACGAAAGUGGACUUGGCUGUAAUCAACCUAAAAUUAAAUAAAUGAACCAAAUCUAAGACAUGUACACAUCGCCCGUCACUCUAUCCUAAAGGUUAGAUAAGUCGUAACAAAGUAGGUGUAAUGGAAAUUGUACCUGUCGAAGUAUAGCAUAUAAAAUGCUUUUUACUUACACUAAAAAUAAAGUUAAACAACUUACUUCGCCCGCACAAUAUAAUCAUACAAAUACCAAUAAUAUAAACAACUAAAUAUCUAAUUAAAUAUAUAGUACAGAAAUGGAACUAAUAACAAAGAAAAGUAAAUUUUAAUAAAUGUACCUUGUGCAUUAUGGUUUUACAAGAAAACAAUUAAAAUAUUAAUCCCGAAUUCUAAAUGAGAUGUUAAAUUGCUGUUAUGAACCCACUAAUAACUGUAGAAAAAGCUUUAAAAGACAAUUUAACAGAGGCUACAUACCAUACGCAUAAGAAUAUAGCUGGUUUUCAAUAAACAUUAUAUAUUAAAACAUAUAACUAUAUUAUAGUGUAAUAUUAUUGAGGAUAAGCCCAAUAAUUAGAGCAAUUUAUUAAAUAUUCUAUUAUGCCCCAUAGGCCUAAAAUCAGCCAAAUAAAAUACUUUACCGUAAUAUAAAAGGACAAAAUAUAUAAUACACCAAUGCCUAAAAAAGUUGAAAUAGUGAGAAAACUCAAUCUCUCACAUUUAAUAUGUAAAAAUAAGUAUUAAUGUAUAAAACAAUCACAACACAAUAACAUAUCAAAAUAUAAUAAACAAUAAUUAAUUAAGGAACUCGGCAAACUAUUAUUUCGACUGUUUAACAAAAACAUUGUCUUAUGAAUAAAAUAUUAGAUAAUACCUG
rnacentral:rRNA from 1 species